GUCACAGUGAGCUGCGCCCUCCCUUCUCCUUACUUUUUCCUGUGUCAUUGAACACAACUCGAGACUUUCGAUACCUCCCACUCAGUAUCGGAUGAAUAACACAGUUUGAUGUUUUGCUUGUUCUGCUGACGGACACGUUAAAGACGUCUGCGCUCCCGUUUCUGUGCAUGUCCAGCAUGAGACAACUGGAAUUCAACCACAUUGAACACCGACUUCAGGGACAGACGAGCCUGAAGGACACAGCUGUGAUGACCAUGUUCUGUCUCUUAUGGCAAAGCAGAAAUAUAAAACACUGGGUUCUUAUCUAAAGUGUAUCAAAUCAGAUCUCCACCAUGUUGCUGCUGAGGACAUCAGGUGCUGCAGUUCUUCAUCUAUGAAGAGAAAAAACGCACUGUUAAAGAAUGUUUUGUGUUGUGUAUAAAGCACAACAGAUUUCUGAUAGAACUGUUGUACUGUGGUCUUGGUUUAUAUCCUCAUGGUGAAAUGUACAUAUUUUAAGUCCCUUCUGAUAAAAGUGCUGAAAGAAAUACAACAUUGUACAAAUACAUAAAAUGUCUUUCUACCUCAUCAGUACUAUUCAAGGUGAUAAUCUCCCACAGACCUAUUGAUAACAGUCCAAAUCAAGUCUUUCCACUUCUCUCAGUGUGAAAACAUAAUUCUAUAAUUAAUUUGAGAACUGUUUACAACACUGAUGUGUGGAGAUUAAAAUCAUACCUAAACUGUCUAAUUCACUGUAAAACUCCAUGACAUUCGCAGGCCAUCUGUAGUUAAGGGAGCAACGCAUGGAAUGAUGUGUAGAUUACUAGUUUGAUGAUGCAUGAGGAGAGGCGGUGGUCGAGUGGCAGAAACUUGGACUAUGGGCAGAGAAGGUCUCUGGUUCGUCUUUGGUUCGACUCCAUGGAGAGACAACAAAAGUCGAACCUGGAUUGAUCUGUCCAAAAAUCCAAGAGUCUCCCUACCCUCUCUAGUGCCCAUGAGCAAGGCACCUCACUCCCCCAACAUCUGCUCCCCCGAGCGCCGUACAUGGUCGCUCACUGCUCUGUGUGUCCUGCACCAGAUGGGUAAAAAGCAGCGAUUAAAUUUCCCUACCUGCAUGAGUGUGCCUUUGCAUGUCUGUGCAUGUGUUUGGGAUGAAUAAAUGGAUUUUAAUCUUAA